UCAGGUAAACAGAGGUGUCCAUUUUUGGGCUGAGAAAAACUCUUAUUAGUUGACCUAGGUAAUGCUAGCGGAACGAGUUUGUCUUUUUUUAAU
rnacentral:ncRNA from 2 species